AGUUUAUACUGUUUGUAUAUAUUUUUUAAGAAUAAAAUAACUUUAAUUUAGUAGUAGUAUACUCAAUUUUCAUAUACAAAAAAUAAAAAUUCCUGGACUCCCAAUCUAAUUUUUGGUCCUUUUCUCAUCGGAGAACGUACAUAGAGUUCCUCCGGCCGUCGGCGAACCAUACUGGUAAUGAAUUCGAGAUCAAGAUAUCUGCCACCUUGGAUGAGUGGCGGACGUGGCGGUGGUGGUGGUGGCAGUAUGCAUCCUAAUGCUAACACUAGUUUUCAACAAAGAAAUCAACAGCAAUAUAUGCAGAGAAGUUCAGUGCCGCAUCAAAAACAAUUUCAGAACCAGCAAACGCAGCAGUGGAUGAGAAGGAACCAGUUAUCAUCAGAUUCUGCUAUUGAUGAGGUUGAAAAGACUGUGCAAUCCGAAAACGGAAGUUCACAAGAUUGGAAGGCUAGGUUGAAGAUACCACCACUUGAUGCUCGAUACAGGACAGAGGAUGUGACAGCAACCAAGGGAAACGAUUUCGAAGACUAUUUUCUAAAGCGUGAACUGCUUAUGGGAAUUUACGAAAAGGGAUUUGAGAGGCCAUCACCAAUCCAGGAGGAGAGUAUUCCAAUUGUUCUAACAGGAAGUGAUAUUUUGGCGAGGGCUAAGAAUAUAACUGGGAAGACUGCUGCCUUCUGCAUCCCUGCAUUAGAAAAAAUUGAUCAGGACAACAAUGUCAUUCAAGUUAUUAUCCUUGUCCCGACUCAGGAAUUGGCUCUUCAAACAUCUCAAGUUUGCAAAGAACUUGGGAAGCACUUAAAAAUUCAAGUCAUGGUUUCCACUGGGGGGACAAGCUUAAAAGACGACAUAAUGAGACUGUAUCAGCCAGUGCAUUUGCUUGUUGGAACUCCUGGAAGAAUACUUGACCUUGCAAGGAAAGGAGUGUGUGUUUUGAAAGAUUGCUCCAUGCUUGUCAUGGAUGAGGCUGAUAAGCUGCUAUCACCAGAGUUCCUACCUUCCAUUGAGCAGCUGAUCCGCUUCUUGCCUGCAAGUCGGCAGAUAUUAAUGUUUUCUGCUACAUUUCCUGUUACAGUCAAGGCCUUCAAAGAUAGAUACUUGCAGAAGCCUUAUGUUAUCAACCUUAUGGAUGAACUUACACUCAAGGGUAUUACCCAGUUUUAUGCUUUUGUUGAAGAAAGACAGAAGCUUCAUUGCCUGAAACACUUUGUUCUCAAAGCUUCAAAUAAACCAAUCAAUAAUUUUUUGCAACUCUGUAAAUCGUGUAGAACUUCUUGCCAAGAAGAUCACGGAACUGGGUUAUUCAUGCUUCUAUAUCCAUGCGAAGAUGCUUCAAGAUCAUAGGAACAGGGUUUUUCAUGACUUCCGCAAUGGUGCCUGCAGGAACCUUGUCUAUACUGAUCUGUUUACUAGAGGGAUAGACAUUCAAGCAGUCAAUGUUGUUAUCAACUUUGAUUUCCCAAAGAACUCAGAGAACAUAUUUACACAGGGUUGGGCGGUCUGGGAGAUUCGGUCACCUGGGUUUAGCUAUCAACCUAAUUACAUUUGAGGAUCGCUUCAGUUUGUAUAGAAUUGAACAAGAGCUAGGAACCGAGAUUAAGCAAAUUCCGCCACAUAUAGACCAGGCUGUGUAAUGCGGGUAAAAUUGAUCAUUUGCAUGGUCAAAUACUUUUCUGGAUGGUGAGUCGUUAAUGACGAGGUGUUUCAUGCACACAGUUUGUCUAAGUGCUGAGCUGAGCUACCCGAGAAUCUAGUUUUUCCAUGCAUACUUGAGUGCAUCUUUCGACAACUUUAAUUGUCCAUUAGUGUUAGUAGUUAGUUUUACUGGCAUUGAAGAUUGUUGGCACAUCUUGCAUAAGUUAUGAUGUCUUAUUGCUUUGAAUAUCUUCCCCAAACAUAAGGAGAGAGGGUGGGGAGAUAUUUUUUUAACACAUGCUUUCAUGAAAUUCUCAGUAUUUUCUGUUUGAAAAUAUGUGACCCCUGAGAGUCUAAAAGAAUGAGAGACUUGGGUGUUUCAUGGUUGCUGAGAUGACAAAGUGAAUUGUAGAUCUUUGGCUCCUAACUUCCUUUUAGAUGAUGCAAAAGAAUUUAAUGGCAGAUAUAGAUAUUGACACUGGAAGGGUCUGUUCAUUGACCGACUAUCCUUUGCUGAGCUCUGGGAUCUGUAGUGUGUGGCAUUCAUAGUUGUUUUAUUCCUUUGGCUGUAGAACUAAGCUGUCGAAAUUACUCUGUUAGUUUUUCCACCUUAGGGUCAUUGACAACAUGGCAUUGACGUAGAGAUUGUCAUGGAGAUACACUUAUUGUGUCAAACAUGUCGAGUUGUAGAACAUUCUUUAAUGGUGAAAUGACCUGAGACAUUCAAGUGCAGCUUCAGUAUUUACCAGCUUUUAUAAUUUAUAGCCUAUUGCCCUGUGUUAGAAGGGGAAUUUCAUCCUUCUGUGGUUGUUUCUACUUUUAAGUUAGGUUUUUCCGAAAUAUAAAGAGGUGAUUGUAUCCAUGAAUGAGUAUAUUUGGCGUUGCUGAUGCGGAGAAUAUGAUCGUAUAUUAGCUAAUAGUAGUAGUAUAUGUUGGUUGUAUUUGUGCCAAUGGAGAGUGUGUUAGCAGGUCUGUUUUCCUAGGCCCUUCAAAGUGAACAUAUUGUUACUGAGGAAAUCAUCUUGUUGCAGAAAUGAGGUGUUGUGUGAGUCAUUGCUGAUCAUUUAGUUUCUGAAUAUUUUUCCUUUGUUAUUUCCCUUUUUAACUAUUUUUUAUUUGAGUUCUGUGGAAUUAGCAAUCUUUUUGUUACUGGACUUGUAUUUCUUUCUUGUGGUUAUUGAAGGUAAAAAUUGGCAAAAGUUAAGCAGAUCUAUAAGAAAGAAAUUUUCUUUCUA